CGGACGGGUGAGUAACGCGUGGGGAACCUGCCCUGUACCGGGGGAUAGCAGCCGGAAACGGCUGAUAAUACCGCAUAAGCGCACGAAUGUCGCAUGACAUGGUGUGAAAAACUCCGGUGGUAUAGGAUGGACCCGCGUCUGAUUAGCCUGUUGGUGGGGUAAAAGCCUACCAAAGCGAAGAUCAGUAGCCGAGUUGAGAGACUGACCGGCCACAUUGGGACUGAGACACGGCCCAGACUCCUACGGGAGGCAGCAGUC
rnacentral:rRNA from 1 species